rnacentral:rRNA from 1 species
ACGAACGCUGGCGGCGUGGAUAAGACAUGCAAGUCGAACGAGAGAAUUGCUAGCUUGCUAAUAAUUCUCUAGUGGCGCACGGGUGAGUAACACGUGAGUAACCUGCCCCCGAGAGCGGGAUAGCCCUGGGAAACUGGGAUUAAUACCGCAUAGUAUCGAAAGAUUAAAGCAGCAAUGCGCUUGGGGAUGGGCUCGCGGCCUAUUAGUUAGUUGGUGAGGUAACGGCUCACCAAGGCGAUGACGGGUAGCCGGUCUGAGAGGAUGUCCGGCCACACUGGAACUGAGACACGGUCCAGACACCUACGGGUGGCAGCAGUCGAGAAUCAUUCACAAUGGGGGAAACCCUGAUGGUGCGACGCCGCGUGGGGGAAUGAAGGUCUUCGGAUUGUAAACCCCUGUCAUGUGGGAGCAAAUUAAAAAGAUAGUACCACAAGAGGAAGAGACGGCUAACUCUGUGCCAGCAGCCGCGGUAAUACAGAGGUCUCAAGCGUUGUUCGGAAUCACUGGGCGUAAAGCGUGCGUAGGCUGUUUCGUAAGUCGUGUGUGAAAGGCGCGGGCUCAACCCGCGGACGGCACAUGAUACUGCGAGACUAGAGUAAUGGAGGGGGAACCGGAAUUCUCGGUGUAGCAGUGAAAUGCGUAGAUAUCGAGAGGAACACUCGUGGCGAAGGCGGGUUCCUGGACAUUAACUGACGCUGAGGCACGAAGGCCAGGGGAGCGAAAGGGAUUAGAUACCCCUGUAGUCCUGGCAGUAAACGGUGCACGCUUGGUGUGCGGGGAAUCGACCCCCUGCGUGCCGGAGCUAACGCGUUAAGCGUGCCGCCUGGGGAGUACGGUCGCAAGAUUAAAACUCAAAGAAAUUGACGGGGACCCGCACAAGCGGUGGAGUAUGUGGCUUAAUUCGAUGCAACGCGAAGAACCUUACCUGGGCUUGACAUGUAAUGAACAACAUGUGAAAGCAUGCGACUCUUCGGAGGCGUUACACAGGUGCUGCAUGGCCGUCGUCAGCUCGUGUCGUGAGAUGUUUGGUUAAGUCCAGCAACGAGCGCAACCCCUGUUGCCAGUUACCAGCACGUGAAGGUGGGGACUCUGGCGAGACUGCCCAGAUCAACUGGAAGGAAGGUGGGGACGACGUCAGGUCAGUAUGGCCCUUAUGCCCAGGGCUGCACACGUACUACAAUGCCCAGUACAGAGGGGGCCGAAGCCGCGAGGCGGAGGAAAUCCUAAAAACUGGGCCCAGUUCGGACUGUAGGCUGCAACCCGCCUACACGAAGCCGGAAUCGCUAGUAAUGGCGCAUCAGCUACGGCGCCGUGAAUACGUUCCCGGGUCUUGUACACACCGCCCGUCACAUCAUGGAAGCCGGUCGCACCCGAAGUAUCUGAAGCCAACCGCAAGGAGGCAGGGUCCUAAGGUGAGACUGGUAACUGGGAUG